rnacentral:siRNA from 1 species
AGAAUUCAAGAGUCCUUUGUGGU